rnacentral:lncRNA from 1 species
UUUGAGCUUCUUGGAGGAAAAGCAGGAUAUAAAUGUAACAAAUAGGAACUUUGAUGAAUCAAUGGCAAUUGUUCCCAUAUAUUAACUAUCUGGUAGAAGGCAUGAAUGAUAUGUUGACAUUUCACAUCUGCCUUUAGUGGAGUGUGUACAGUUCAUCUACCCUGUGAAGACAACACUUUCCACUUUUCAUUUGCUAGUGCACAUUAGUGUAUGCAGCUUAAAAACUAUUCAAGCUCCCUACCUGCCACACUGCAGGAGUAAGUCUGGAAAGGCUGGGCAUGUGCCCUGUGCUGUGAUUUUCUUUUUUUAUGACAAAUGAUGAUGCAGGUUCUCAGUGUGAAAGGGCAAAGUGGAUGCUACUCCAAAAAGAGCUUAUCUGUAAUAAAUGUAUUCAUCUCUAAAGUACCAAAAGACUCUGGUUUUACCACAGUGGUAUAACGCAGCUACUGCUCUAAACAAGUACUCAUUUUAUUUAUAAAAUUAUGUAUGAAUGACCCUUUGGUUCCAAAAGCAACAUGUAUUCAUUUCAAAACCUACCCAUUAUUUAGUGUGAAUCUGCAGAAGAUGAUGUCAAUUCUUAAACACUUUAGAAGUACCGGUGACAAAAUAACAUUAAUUUUGUGUGUAAAAAGAGAGGUAUGUUGAGGCUGCAUGCAGUGUCCAAAUGCUGUGUUCUAUUCUUAUGUGUGUGACAGUCUGUGGAGGAAAAAUAAAGGCUCUGGUUUCAAGAGAUUAUGUCAGAAGAUUCAGAUAAAGACAAGCAACACAGAGAACAAUUAACCAGUGAUGAUUACAACUCGGAUGAGGACCCCUUCAGUCCAUUUUUAACUGAAGAAUUUGAGCAGUGUGCAUUUUUCCCAGGUCUGAUAUUUUUCUUUUUUGUCAUGCAUUUGCAGUUAGCUGGUUGGAACACGGUGGAGUUCUGGCAUACACUGGUACACAGUAUACAUAUUGUACAUAUAUAUAUAUAUACUGGUAUACAACUGGAGAAAUCACCAGCAUCAUACACAAGGAUAUCAAAGCAUCAAAAACCAGCAAUGGGACCCCUCUUCUGUAAUGUUAUACUAAUACUAUAUGCACUAUUGGAAGUAAAACUUUUGCUCAUGCAUCUGUAUGGUGAUGCAUCA